UACGGAGGGUGCAAGCGUUAUCCGGAAUCACUGGGUUUAAAGGGUGCGUAGGCGGCGCUCUAAGUCAGCCGUGAAAUUGCCGGGCUUAACCUGUGCGACUGCGGUUGAUACUGGGGUGCUUGAAUGGGGUUGAGGCUGGCGGAAUGCGGCAUGUAGCGGUGAAAUGCUUAGAUAUGCCGCAGAACACCGAUUGCGAAGGCAGCCAGCUGGGCCUUUAUUGACGCUGAGGCACGAAAGCGUGGGGAGCAAACAGG
rnacentral:rRNA from 1 species